rnacentral:tRNA from 1 species
AGAAGCUUACGUUAACAUAAACCAAGGGCCUUCAAAGCCCAAAAUAAGGGUGAAACCCCCCUAGCUCCUGC